CAGACAGCCGAAUGAGAGCCAGACUGAUGAUCUUGCUCGACGAGCUGAGAGCUGGUGCAUGGCCAUCGUAAAUUCGUGCCGUGAGGUAUCAGCUUAAGUGCUGCAACGAAUGAGAUCCCUGCCACCUAGUUGCCAGCCGGGAGCUUUGGCUCUGACGGGGCACACUAGGGGGACCGCCAGCGAAAAGCUGGAGGAAGGUGGGGGCCACGGUAGGUCAGUAUGCCGCGAUAUGGGCGGGGCCACACGCGUGCUACAAUGGCUGGGACAAUGCGUCACAACGCCGAAAGGUGAAGUCAAUCGCGAAACCCAGUCGUAGUCGGGAUCGCGGGUUGGAACUCACCCGCGUGAACCUGGAAUCCCUAGUAUCCGCGUGUCACUAUCGCGCGGAGAAUACGUCCCUGCUUCUUGCACACACCGCCCGUCGCUCCAUGCGAGCGGCCUUGGGGUGAGGUGUCGUCCAUUGGGCGAUGACGAAUCUUGGGGUCGCAAGUAGGGAGAAGUCGUAACAAGGUAUCCGUAGCGGAAGCUGCGGAUG
rnacentral:rRNA from 1 species